rnacentral:tRNA from 1 species
GUCCCUGUAGCGCAAUGGAUAGCACGUUGGACUUCUAAGCCAAAGGAUGUGGGUUCGAAUCCCAUCUGGGAUG